GUCAACCCCUCAGCGGCAAAAAUUAAAAUUUUUACCGCUUCGGCGUUAUAACCUCACACUCAAUCUUUUAUCACGAAGUCAUGAUUGAAUCGCGAGUGGUCGGCAGAUUGCGAUAAACGGUCACAUUAAAUUUAACCUGACUAUUCCACUGCAACAACUGAACGGACUGGAAACACUGGUCAUAAUCAUGGUGGCGAAUAAGUACGCGUUCUUGCAAAUCACCAGAAGGCGGUUCCUGAAUGAAUGGGAAGCCUUCAAGAAGGUGAUAAGCAGGAGAAACAUACGAAGGCGCAUAACGAUACCACUGACCCUCAGCAAUCUUAAACUUCUUAGA
rnacentral:rRNA from 1 species